AUUGAAUGCCGACGGCGUGGAUGAGGCAUGCAAGUCGAACGGAAUGGGGGUAACUCCAUUCAGUGGCGGAAGGGUUAGUAAUACAUGGGUAACCUGCCUAUAACUUUGGAAUAACGAUUGGAAACGAUCGCUAAUACCAAAUGUGGUGAGAGGAGGCAACUCUUUUUCAUUAAAGCGGGGGAUCGAAAGACCUCGCGGUUAAAGAAGGGCCCAUGGGAUAUCAGCUUGUUGGUGAGGUAAAGGCUCACCAAGGCUAAGACGUCUAGGCGGAUUGAGAGAUUGACCGCCAACACUGGGACUGAGAACUGCCCAGACUCCUACGGGAGGCUGCAGUCGAGAAUCAUUCGCAAUGGGCGCAAGCCUGACGAUGCGACGCCGUGUGUGUGAUGAAGGCCUUCGGGUCGUAAAGCACUUUCGCUUGGGAACAAGAGAGGUCGGAUAAUACCCGGCCAAUUUGAGGGUACCAGGUAAAGAAGCACCGGCUAACUACGUGCCAGCCGCCGCGGUAA
rnacentral:rRNA from 1 species